rnacentral:rRNA from 1 species
UACAGAGGUCCCAAGCGUUGUUCGGAUUCAUUGGGCGUAAAGGGUGCGUAGGCGGCGCGGUAAGUCGGGUGUGAAACUCUCGGAGCUUAACUCCGAAACUGCAUUCGAUACUGGCCGUGCUUGAGGACUGGAGAGGAGACUGGAAUUUACGGUGUAGCGGUGAAAUGCGUAGAUAUCGUAAGGAAGACCGAGUGGCGAAGGCGGGUCUCUGGACAGUUCCUGACGCUGGAGGCACGAAGGCCAGGGGAGCAAACGGG